AGCGAACGCUGGCGGCAGGCCUAACACAUGCAAGCCGAACGAAGCCUUCGGGCUUAGUGGCGGACGGGUGAGUAACACGUGGGAACGUACCUUUUGGUUCGGAAUAACGCAGAGAAAUUUGCGCUAAUACCGAAUGAGCCCUUAGGGGGAAAGAUUUAUCGCCGAAAGAUCGGCCCGCGUUGGAUUAGGUAGUUGGUGUGGUAAAGGCGCACCAAGCCUACGAUCCAUAGCUGGUCUGAGAGGAUGAUCAGCCACACUGGAACUGAGACACGGCCCAGACUCCUACGGGAGGCAGCAGUGGGGAAUCUUGCGCAAUGGGCGAAAGCCUGACGCAGCCAUGCCGCGUGAAUGAUGAAGGUCUUAGGAUUGUAAAAUUCUUUUACCAGGGACGAUAAUGACGGUACCUGGAGAAAAAGCCCCGGCUAACAUCGUGCCAGCCGCCGCAGUAACAC
rnacentral:rRNA from 1 species